rnacentral:lncRNA from 1 species
UCUAUGUCCACAUAGACCAUAGCCUUCAUCCAUCAUUUACAAAACAGAUCAUAUCAGAUAGACAUAUAACACUUCCAACAAUUGGCAUACAAGAUGCCUUCUAGUGGUAACCAAGGGGAGCUGGUGCCUCUCUCAAUUCCUUGCCCUGAAAAUGAAUAUCCUGCAUACACAAAGGCAGACAGAAUCCAGAAAUCCAGAAUUAAUAAGACGAGCCUUGAGAAUUACGUGAACAUGGUUGUCUGGUUAUAGGAAAACAGGCUAAAACAGACACGGGUGCUCAUUAUAGGCUUCACAAAAUGAAUUAGAAUCGUGAAAGCUUCCACAGAAAACAGAACUCAACACAUCUAAAGAAGUGACAAAAUUGUAAAAAACCAAUGAAAGGCAUGAUAAUGGAAAAGGUGUUUAAUACUCACCGAUGCAAAAUGGUUGACAUCUCGAUGAUGAGCUUCAUCGGCACGAAUCACAGUAAUAACAUCCUUCAGUGUAGAAUCCUU